rnacentral:rRNA from 1 species
UACAGAGGGUGCGAGCGUUAAUCGGAUUUACUGGGCAUAAAGGGCACGUAGGCGGUUGUGUGAGUGUGGUGUGAAAGCCCCGGGCUUAACCUGGGAAGUGCAUCGCAAACGACACAACUGGAGUAUGAGAGAGGGUAGCGGAAUUUCCGGUGGAGCGGUGAAAUGCGUAGAGAUCGGAAAGAACACCAACGGCGAAAGCACUCUGCUGGGCCGACACUGACACUGAGAGACGAAAGCUAGGGGAGCGAAUGGG